rnacentral:sRNA from 1 species
AUAAUCAUGACUAAUUUUUUUAUUGUGUUGUAGUUGUUUGCUACCUAACCUCUUAUUAGUUUAUU